GAACUUAGCAGAGAUGCUUUGGUGCCUUCGGGAACUCUGAGACAGGUGCUGCAUGGCUGUCGUCAGCUCGUGUUGUGAAAUGUUGGGUUAAGUCCCGCAACGAGCGCAACCCUUAUCCUUUGUUGCCAGCGGUUCGGCCGGGAACUCAAAGGAGACUGCCAGUGAUAAACUGGAGGAAGGUGGGGAUGACGUCAAGUCAUCAUGGCCCUUACGAGUAGGGCUACACACGUGCUACAAUGGCAUAUACAAAGAGAAGCGACCUCGCGAGAGCAAGCGGACCUCAUAAAGUAUGUCGUAAUCCGGAUCGGAGUCUGCAACUCGACUCCGUGAAGUCGGAAUCGCUANUAAUCGUGGAUCAGAAUGCCACGGUGAAUACGUUCCCGGGUCUUGUACACACCG
rnacentral:rRNA from 1 species